CCCUAACCGCCGAUCGCCGUCGAUGUACCGCAAAAAAAAAAAAAACGGACAUGAUUCGUACGCGGGCGGCGGACCGCUGUUUGCGGGUGACAAGUCGGGAAGGCAGUGGACGGGAAAUUCAACGUAUGCCUGUGCACGCAACGAUUUAGCGUUUCAAACGGAAAACAAAAACCCGAUUCUGAGCGGGGUUCGAUUGAUCGUGUCGCUCACGUGUCAACAAUGUAUCACACGUCAUAUACAAUGACGUGGCGUUCGUGUACACAAAUUAUUCAGUAACAAAUGUUCGCGUCCCGAGUUUUUUUAAAUAAGGAUAAACUUUAGGUUUCCAACAAGUUUUAUAAUUCUAGGAGCCACUGUCACGUUUUGCCACUAACAACAUCGAGUUCAGCCCGGAGUACCGCAUUUUAGAUUUUUUGUAACACCGUAUCAAAUUUCGAUAUUCUCCCUUUAUUCGUUAUUUAAAUUUAAAAGAUUGUAUUAAACAACCAAACGUAAUUGGAUUUUUGGUGUCUACUAUACGAAUAAUUUUAUGCGAG